rnacentral:rRNA from 1 species
UGGUGGAGUGAUUUGUCUGCUUAAUUGCGAUAACGAACGAGACCUUAACCUGCUAAAUAGCCCGCGUUGCUUCUGCAGCGCGCCGGCUUCUUAGAGGGACUAUCGGCUCAAGCCGAUGGAAGUUUGAGGCAAUAACA